rnacentral:rRNA from 2 species
ACACGACUCUCGGCAACGGAUAUCUCGGCUCUCGCAUCGAUGAAGAACGUAGCGAAAUGCGAUACCUGGUGUGAAUUGCAGAAUCCCGCGAACCAUCGAGUCUUUGAACGCAAGUUGCGCCCGAGGCCACCUGGCUGAGGGCACGCCUGCCUGGGCGUCACGC